UCGUUAACGAACGAGACCUCAGCCUGCUAAAUAGCUCGAUCGAGGCAUCCGCCUCGGACUAUCGAGUCUUCUUAGAGGGACUUUUGGUGCGUAGCCAAAGGAAGUUUGAGGCAAUAACAGGUCUGUGAUGCCCUUAGAUGUUCUGGGCCGCACGCGCGCUACACUGUUGCACGCAGCGAGUCUAAAACCUUGACCGGAAGGUCUGGGUAAUCUUUGAAAGUGCAACGUGAUGGGGCUAGAUUAUUGCAAUUAUUAAUCUUAAACGAGGAAUUCCUAGUAAACGCAAGUCAUCAACUUGCAUUGAUUACGUCCCUGCCCUUUGUACACACCGCCCGUCGCUAAUACCGAUUGAAUGGUUA
rnacentral:rRNA from 1 species